UGGGGAAUAUUGCGCAAUGGGCGAAAGCCUGACGCAGCCAUGCCGCGUGUGUGAAGAAGGCCUUCGGGUUGUAAAGCACUUUCAAUUGGGAGGAAAGGUUCACGGUUAAUAACCGUGAGCUGUGACGUUACCUUUAGAAGAAGCACCGGCUAACUCCGUGCCAGCAGCCGCGGUAAUACGGAGGGUGCAAGCGUUAAUCGGAAUUACUGGGCGUAAAGCGCGCGUAGGUGGUCUGUUAAGUCGGAUGUGAAAGCCCCGGGCUCAACCUGGGAACUGCAUCCGAUACUGGCAGACUAGAGUGCGGGAGAGGGAGGUAGAAUUCCACGUGUAGCGGUGAAAUGCGUAGAUAU
rnacentral:rRNA from 1 species